rnacentral:rRNA from 3 species
UGGGGAGUACGGCCGCAAGGCUAAAACUCAAAGGAAUUGACGGGGGCCCGCACAAGCGGCGGAGCAUGCGGAUUAAUUCGAUGCAACGCGAAGAACCUUACCAAGGCUUGACAUAUACCGGAAACGUUCAGAAAUGUUCGCCCCGCAAGGUCGGUAUACAGGUGGUGCAUGGUUGUCGUCAGCUCGUGUCGUGAGAUGUUGGGUUAAGUCCCGCAACGAGCGCAACCCUCGUCGUAUGUUGCCAGCACGUAAUGGUGGGAACUCAUAUGAGACUGCCGGGGUCAACUCGGAGGAAGGUGGGGAUGACGUCAAAUCAUCAUGCCCCUUAUGUCUUGGGCUUCACGCAUGCUACAAUGGCUGGUACAAUGGGCUGCAAUACCGCGAGGUGGAGCGAAUCCCAAAAAGCCAGUCUCAGUUCGGAUUGGGGUCUGCAACUCGACCCCAUGAAGUCGGAGUCGCUAGUAAUCGCAGAUCAGCAACGCUGCGGUGAAUACGUUCCCGGGCCUUGUACACACCGCCCGUCAAGUCAUGAAAGUCGGUAACACCCGAAGCCGGUGGCCUAACCUUUUGGAGGGAGCCGUCGAAGGUGGGAUCGGUAAUUA